rnacentral:rRNA from 1 species
AAAGGAAUAGACGGGGGCCCGCACAAGCGGAGGAACAUGUGGUUUAAUUCGAUGAUACGCGAGGAACCUUACCUGGGCUUAAAUGUAGACUGCAUUAAUGGGAAACCAUUAUUUCCUUCGGGACUGUCUGCAAGGUGCUGCAUGGUUGUCGUCAGCUCGUGCCGUGAGGUGUCGGGUUAAGUCCCAUAACGAGCGCAACCCUUAUCGUUAGUUGCCAGCGGGUAAAGCCGGGGACUCUAGCGAAACUGCCGGUGUAAACCGAGAGGAAGGUGGGGAUGACGUCAAAUCAGCACGGCCCUUAUGUCCAGGGCUACACACGUGUUACAAUGGCCGGUACAGAGGGCAGCUAUGCUGUGAGGCAAUGCGAAUCUCGAAAGCCGGUCUCAGUUCGGAUCGGAGUCUGCAACUCGACUCCGUGAAGCUGGAUUCGCUAGUAAUCGCGCAUCAGCCAUGGCGCGGUGAAUACGUUCCCGGGCCUUGUACACACCGCCCGU